ensembl:snRNA U6 U6 spliceosomal RNA
GUGCUGGCUUCGCCGGCACAUCUACUAAAAUCAGAAGGACACAGAGAUUAGCAGGGUUCCUGUGCAAGGAUGACUUGCAAAUCUGUGACAUGUUUCAUAUUUUU